GGGGAYUGAGACACGGCCCCAGAYUYCUUACGGGRRGCAGCAGUGGGGAAUUUUGGACAAUGGGGGCAACCCUUGAUCCCAGCAAUGCCGCGUGUGUGAAGAAGGCCUUCCGGGUUGUAAAGCACUUUUGUCCGGAAAGAAAACUUUCGCCCUUAAUACGGUGGAGGGAUGACGGUACCGGAAGAAUAAGCACCGGCUAACUACGUGCCAGCAGCCGCGGUAAUACGUAGGGUGCGAGCGUUAAUCGGAAUUACUGGGCGUAAAGCGUGCGCAGGCGGUGAUGUAAGACCGAUGUGAAAUCCCCGGGCUUAACCUGGGAACUGCAUUGGUGACUGCAUUGCUGGAGUAUGGCAGAGGGGGGGUGGAAUUCCACGUGUAGCAGUGAAAUGCGUAGAGAUGUGGAGGAACACCGAUGGCGAAGGCAGCCCCCUGGGCCAAUACUGACGCUCAUGCACGAAAGCGUGGGGAGCAAACAGGAUUAGAUACCCUGGUAGUCCACGCCCUAAACGAUGUCAACUGGGUUGUCGGGCCUUCAUUGGCUUGGUAACGUAGCUAACGCGUGAAGUUGACCGCCUGGGGGAGUACGGUCGCAAGAUUAAAACUCAAAGGGAAUUGACGGGGACCCGCACAAGCGGUGGGAUGAAUGUGGGAUUAAUUUCGAUGCAACGCGAAAAACCUUACCUACCCUUGACAUGUACGGAACCUGGCUGAGAAGGUCGGGGUGCCCGAAAAGGGAGCCGUAACACAGGUGCUGGCAUGGCUGUCGUCAGCUCGUGUCGUGGAGAWGGUUGUGGUUAAKUCCCSCMACSAAGCGCAACCCCUUGUYCUCUAGUUUGYUACGCAAGARCACUCC
rnacentral:rRNA from 1 species